rnacentral:rRNA from 1 species
GAGUUUGAUCAUGGCUCAGGAUGAACGCCGGCGGUGUGCCUAAUACAUGCAAGUCGUACGCACUGGCCCAACUGAUUGAUGGUGCUUGCACCUGAUUGACGAUGGAUCACCAGUGAGUGGCGGACGGGUGAGUAACACGUAGGUAACCUGCCCCGGAGCGGGGGAUAACAUUUGGAAACAGAUGCUAAUACCGCAUAACAACAAAGGCCACAUGGCUUUUGUUUGAAAGAUGGCUUUGGCCAUCACUCUGGGAUGGACCUGCGGUGCAUUAGCUAGUUGGUAAGGUAACGGCUUACCAAGGCGAUAAUGCAUAGCCGAGUUGAGAGACUGAUCGGCCACAAUGGAACUGAGACACGGUCCAUACUCCUACGGGAGGCAGCAGUAGGGAAUCUUCCACAAUGGGCGCAAGCCUGAUGGAGCAACACCGCGUGAGUGAAG